CAGGACGUCACCGCGGCGAGAUUGUGGCGGCGCGAGUAAACUGAGCUGGCUGCCACGCCUGCGGUCCGAGUCUCACGGCUCGCAGGCCCGCACCCUGGCCUCCGAAGGGGUGGCGGCGGGCCGGCGCUGGUGGGUGGCAGGUCAGGCCUCGUGCUCUCCCCGCGGCCCUCCGCCGCCGCCAGGCGCUCGCUCGAUUCCGUCGGUGCAGACUGAGGGCCAGGAGCCGCCAGGCUGCUCCCGCGCCUCAAGUCUCAGGGGGGAGGUCAGCGCAGGUACCCCGAGGCGUGCAGGCUGGAAUAACCCGCAUCCGGAAAAGGCCUCAUGUACCAACGUUUCUUCACGUGUCAUUUGAAUUCAAGUCUGAGAACCAGACUUCUGGACCAAAGGAAAGGCAUGAUGACUUCAGGUAUGUGAGCACGGUGGUGGCUGCAAGUAGUAAGUGGCUGGAGCAGGGACAUGCAGAGGAGAGGAUGGGAGACGAGGCUACGAUAGUAGGUUAGGGAAUUAAUUCAUUCGCAGGCUGAAGAUUGACAUGUACCUUGGAGAAAUCUAUAGGUCUACAGUUUUUGAACUGGUGGUAGGGAAGAAGAGGAGGCAGCCCAAGUCAUCACUAGGCUUUGGGAAAGUUCAUAAUCUGGCUGUGAUAUUUUGGUGAUAUAAAAAAAUAGGACACACCCACAAAUUCGUGGAUAUUUAAGUGAUGGCACUUCAUUCCCUUCCCCUUGAGUGUAACUUCUAUCAGAUACGACACAGCAGACUGGUUUCCACCGUGAGUAUCUUUUCCCCCUGCAUCUCUUCCUCCCUCCCUCCUUCCUUCUGUUCAAAGUGUUUGCGCUGGGUGAAGCCAGCUACCAUGUCCUGAGGCUACUGAGCCACGGAGUGAGCACAGAAGUGGAUCCUCAAGGAGUGGAACCUUGAGAUGACCACAAACUCUUUUUUCGUUUUCUUUUUUUUUUUUUUAAGAUUUUAUUUAUUUGAGAGAGAGAGAAUGAGUUGGGGGGGGCAGAGGGAGAGGGAGCAGCAGACCCCCUGCUGAGCAGGGAGCCAAUGCAGGGCUUGAUUCCAGGACCCUGAGAUCAUGACCUGAGCCUAAGGCAGUUGCUGAACUGAGUCACCCAGGCACCCCAACCACAAACUUUUGAGAGACCCUCUGCCAGAACCAUCUAGCUAUGCUGCCUCCUGACCCACAGAAACUGUGAGAUACUAAGUGUUAUUUUAAGCCACUAAAUUUGGGGUAAUUUGUUAUGCAUCAUAGAUAACUAAUGGGAAUUUGUAGACUUUCAGUCUUCAGGAGGACCUCACGCCUAGCAGGUCCCUCAGCAACUCAUUAUCUUCCCCACAGACCUGUGCAUCCUGUUUUCUGUCUCAGUCGUUGACACCACCAGCCGCCUCGUUGUCCCAGCCAAAAUACGGGAGUCAUCCUUAACUCUUCUCCUCACACCCCACUCAUACCCAACAGCAAAGGCUUGUUUAUUCCUUUUAAAUGUCAUUUUUCCUGGG
rnacentral:lncRNA from 1 species